rnacentral:lncRNA from 1 species
ACCACAUCUUUAGGACCCUAGUUUUUUUUGACAGCGUCACCUGUCGAAUUGGAUCAUGGAUGUGCUAAUGGAUGACACGGAUGACAAGGAAAGUGCCAUCGUACAUGCUCUGGGUGUCUUGAGGAGCUUGUCUUUGGAUGAUGCUGAGCAGGUCUUUCUUUCUGGUAAAGAUUAUCAUUACAGGAACUAAAGUCUACAGCCAGUCUGAAUGCAGCAACUGAAUAAACAGUGGGGUCUUUUUUUUGGUUGAAUUGCAAUAAUAAAAAAAGAGUGUGUGGAUAUUUAGAU